rfam:Dietzia cinnamea P4 contig00071, whole genome shotgun sequence.
UCGUGUCCACCCUCUAUCUCGGAUCGUCCGGCACGUUCCUGCCGGUGAAGGGAAAGA